rnacentral:rRNA from 1 species
UACGUAGGUGGCAAGCGUUGUCCGGAGUUACUGGGCGUAAAGGGCGCGUAGGCGGCGCACCAAGUCAGGCGUGAAAGCCCCGGGCUCAACCUGGGAGGUGCACUUGAUACUCGAGGGCUUGAGUGCGGGAGAGGAGAGUGGAAUUCCCGGUGUAGCAGUGAAAUGCGUAGAGAUCGGGAGGAACAUCAGUUGCGAAGGCGGCUCUCUGGACCAGCACUGACACUGAGGCACGAAAGCGUGGGGAGCAAACAGG